rnacentral:lncRNA from 1 species
CCCACAGACCCGCAGCCCAGGUCUGCAAAGCCCCCUCCACCGCCUGGGCCCCGGGCGCCGCGGCCCCCAGCGGAGGGGAAGGGGACCGAGGAAGGGAAGAAGCUGUAAACAGCCCCAGCGUCCGGGCCUCGCCUCGAAGAGCCCAGCUCCCAGGCCCCGCCGCGGCCGCCAGAGUCCCCAGCCCGUCCGAGGACCGCCCCUCCCGGGGCCCCGGGCACCGGAGGGGAGUCAGGUCUCCUCCCCAGAGGGCUCCGGCAGCUUGCGGAGCGGUCCCAGCAGCAGAGAAGGGGGAAGUCAGGACUUACCUGUCAUUACUUUCUACGCCAUCUUGGAUCCACUUGUCAACGUCCCCACAAAGCAUUAUGGUUAAUAAUUAAUAUCAAACGAGCAAACCAACAAACAAAUCAGAAACACCUGCUAGCCUUUUUUUUGGCAUUUGCGAUGGAACCAAGAUUUCUUGCACAGGAAAAGGGCACCCAGAUCCUAUCGCCGAUGGACCUGAGGGCCACAAGCCAAAAUCCCAUAUCAGGUAACUCUUCAGUAGAAAGGGUCAAGGCUCCUCACAUUUUCUAUCUACAGCCCCGUUGUAUACCGAAGAUUCCCUGGAAACUGAUUUUCCAUUUUUAUAUAAAGUCCUGCAAACAAAGAACGCUCCCCGUUCAAAUACCUUGAGCCCAUUUCUUCUGCCGUUUCUGAUGCUAUAGGGUUAAUCCAGUAUGAAGAGAGUGACAAAGGGGGGGGCGGGGGGUUGGUUGGUUUUUGUUUUAUAGAUUCCACAUUCAUAACCAACUACUUGGCAACCGGCCCUCUCAUAUGUUGCAAAACAAAAAUGUGUUGCCUUCAGUGUGUUUUUAAUAGGCUAAGCAGUUUAUUUGAUCACAGAGCUUGGGUCUAGACUCACAAACACCAGAACUUUCCCACUGUGUUGUCACUGCUUUGGUUAGUAUCUUGGUUUCCCCUCUGUCUUUCUAAAGAACCAUUUGGGGACUCGGGAUACUGAUUCCUGGGAGCAGCUACGGGCCCUUGACCACGACCUACACUCUUCAAAGGAAUCCGCAUCCAGGCUUGCAAAAUACCGUGCGAAACUUGCAAAAAGUCACCAGUUUUAAAUUUUGAAAUUACUGGCACUGGCAGGCAUCAACCAUCGAGAAAUUCUCCUGAGUGGGGUAGAGCAAAUUUCUAGAAACAAAGUAAGCUUCGAUCUGUGCAGCUCUUUGUGGAAAUAUUUACGCCCAAAGAAAAGGGUCCCUUUCAGCUCUAGGAUGUUGUAAUACAAACAUUUACUAUAAAUGAAGUGCUUUGUGAAUACACUUGCCCAUUCCCUCAGAAAGCUUCUGGUACCUGAUUUUACCUAAACACCUCUUUUUGCUGCAUAGGUUUGGCGAAAAGGUAAAUAUCCCGUGAUUCACCUCACUAGAAAGGAACCAAAUGUAUAUUGGAUGUAAGUCAGUUUUAUUAAGGAGCCUCAAAGUAUUAACAACAAGAACAACAACAAAACUUAAAGACCCACAAGCCUGGUGAGCAGCUUUCACGGAACUCAGCGGUCCUCCUGAGAGCCACCACCUCGGGCCCUCGCGUAAUUGUGAACCCUGGUGUCCUGGAAGUCAGCAGCAGGGUCAACAGGUGAUUUAGCAAUCGUUAUUAAAGUCCCGACUUGCACACAGUUGGAUUCUGUUUCAAUGUAGCCUCAUUAUUUUUCUCAGGCCCUUGUACCACGUCUGCUCACCUGAUUUAUUUAUUUUUUAUAUUUUAUGUUUUUUAUUUAUUUUUGAGAGACAGAGAGAGACAGCGUGAG